UCAAGAUGUUGAGUAUUGAUUACUAAUCAACUACUAGCCUGGAAGAUAAAAGCCAAAGCUGUAAACAGACAGGUCAGGUAAAUAUAUGAAUGAAGAAAUUGAAACUAGAAGUAAACAUCAUGGGAAGUCUAAUUAUAGGGCAAGUAUUUUUCCUUCAUAUCUUAUUUAACAUAGUCAAACCAUGCAAUACUUAUAGGCUUAACUAUUGUUUUCAUAGAAACAAUGUUAUUUUAAAUAUCAUGAGAUAGUGUAUUUAAGAGAUAUUGUAGUUCAAGUUUCCAUAUUUAAUCAGCUUAACAAGUGCACAUUCUCUGCUGCCAACAGUACCAAUUUGUCAUCCAAGCAACAAAUAUUCCUUGGUAAUCUGCUAUCAGAUGACAGUUAUCUCUUUGGCAUUUUUAUGAAUUAAAGCUUUCAAAGCCAAACUUCAGAUUUGCUUAGCAUAUUCCUGUACUACAUAUCAACAAAUGUUUGAUGGUUUGUCUGGUUCAUCUCUUAACACUAUGAAGAUGGCUACACUAAUCUUAACAAGCAAACAUUCUGUUGCCAACAGUACCAAUUUGUCAUCCUAUCCAAGCAACUACUAUUCCUUGGUAAUCUGCUAUCAGAUGAUUACAGUUUUCUCUUUGGCAUUUGUAUGAAUUAAAGCUUUCAAAGCCAAACCUUAGAUUUGGUUAGCAUAACCCUGAACUGCAUAUCAACAAAUGUCUAAUGGUCUGUCUGGUUCAUUUCUCAAGACUAUGAAGAUGGCUACACAGUGAGUACAAAGUUUUAUUUUCAUUCACCAAACAAAUUUUAC